rnacentral:rRNA from 1 species
ACUCAAAGGAAUAGACGGGGGCCCGCACAAGCGGUGGAGCAUGUGGUUUAAUUCGAUGCAACGCGAAGAACCUUACCAGGUCUUGACAUCCAUAGAAUAGCUGUGAAAGCAGGUAGUGCCUUCGGGAGCUAUGAGACAGGUGGUGCAUGGUUGUCGUCAGCUCGUGUCGUGAGAUGUUGGGUUAAGUCCCGCAACGAGCGCAACCCUUGCUAUUAGUUGCUAACAGGAGAGCUGAGCACUCUAAUGGAACUGCCCGUUACAAGCGGGAGGAAGGUGGGGAUGACGUCAAAUCAUCAUGCCCUUUAUGAUCUGGGCUACACACGUGCUACAAUGGGUGGUACAGAGAGCAGCGAGUCCGUGAGGCGGAGCGAAUCUCAAAAAGCCACUCUCAGUUCGGAUUGCAGUCUGCAACUCGACUGCAUGAAGUCGGAAUCGCUAGUAAUCGCGAAUCAGCACGUCGCGGUGAAUGCGUUCCCGGGCCUUGCACACACCGCCCGU